rnacentral:rRNA from 1 species
GAUGAACGCUGGCGGCGUGCCUAAUACAUGCAAGUCGAGCGAACAGACGAGGAGCUUGCUCCUCUGACGUUAGCGGCGGACGGGUGAGUAACACGUGGAUAACCUACCUAUAAGACUGGGAUAACUUCGGGAAACCGGAGCUAAUACCGGAUAAUAUAUUGAACCGCAUGGUUCAAUAGUGAAAGACGGUUUUGCUGUCACUUAUAGAUGGAUCCGCGCCGCAUUAGCUAGUUGGUAAGGUAACGGCUUACCAAGGCAACGAUGCGUAGCCGACCUGGGAGGGUGUUCGGCCACACUGGAACUGAGCCACGGUCCAGACUCCUACGGGAGGCAGCAGUAGGGAAUCUUCCGCAAUGGGCGAAAGCCUGACGGAGCAACGCCGCGUGAGUGAUGAAGGUCUUCGGAUCGUAAAACUCUGUUAUUAGGGAAGAACAAAUGUGUAAGUAACUAUGCACGUCUUGACGGUACCUAAUCAGAAAGCCACGGCUAACUACGUG